GUCACUUCCAGAGUUCCAGUGGCUGUAGCAGCCAAGAAGGAACUGCCUAUUGCCGGCGGGGCUCAAGCGGUGUCACUUUCAGUGGCUAUAGCAGCCAAAAAAACCAAAACCCCUCUAUAUUCUGAUGGCAAAUCUGUAAGCAUCUCACUAAUGAAAGAGCUUAUCACCAUGACGUGUACGUGUGCGUUUAAAAAAUGUGAGGCUAAGGUCAACCAUCAACCCAAAAUGUUUCUCUGUCACUAUCCACCUGAAAUUUAUGUACAACUUUUCAGUUUUUAUUGAUUGAUUGAUGGCUUUGUUCUUGACAAUCCUUUACGAAUCUACUCUGCUUUUGUGGAUAGGCGAAAAAGAUUGUUUUUUAGUAUUUUUUUCUUCAGUAGAUUAUUGAACGAGGUUUCAGAGCAGAUUGAGAGAAAAAGAGAAAUGUUAGUUCAUGCUUCAGUACAUUAUUUUUCUUGCUCCAGUACAUUAUUUUUCUUCAUUACUCUUUUCGAUAUCUCUUGCUUCAGUACAUUAUUUUUCUCUUACUACAUUUCUUUGUUCUUUUCAUUCCGAAAAGGCUACCUUAGCAGCACAACUACGCUUUUUUUUUUGCCCUUUUCAGCUCUCAAACUGCAGCCUAGUUUUGUUGUCAGUUCUCUGUUUUUGAUGGAUCUGAUAUGGUUAGACCUAUCUGGUUUUUCUGUAUGUGAUACGCCUAGUUAUAACUACUUCCAUCUUUUAACAGCUGUCCUAGUUUUGUUGCUCACCGGCUGACACCUUCCUUUUCUUUUUCUCUUUUUUAUGAGAUGUAUGAAUUGCACGUGGCAUCACAUAAAUUACCAUUCGAGAUAAGUUCCAGUCUGCAGAUCUCGGGGGACAGUAUGGCUGGAAUACGCUUGGUAACAGGGAGCAUUACCACUGCUGUGUAGUAAGACCGAAUCAAAUUUAAG
rnacentral:lncRNA from 1 species